rnacentral:rRNA from 1 species
UUUCAANNNUACGUGAAACCGUUUAGGGGUAAACCUGAGAAACCCGAAAGGUCGAAGGGAGAAAUUCAUUCGCGUUUCGACGUAGGCGUCGGAAGGGGUCGAGCGACGGGACGCGUUCCUCUCUCGGGGAACGGGUCUCGCGCCCUCCGUCCGUCGAACCGACGACGAACGCGUGCACUUUUCUCCUGGUAGGACGUCGCGAUCCGUCGGGCGUCGGUCUACGGCUUGCGGUGGAGCCCGUUCGUCGCGUCUCGUACCGUACGAACGGACCCGCUCGUUCCGACCGACUCGCUCGACGGUAUACUUAAGGUCGGAGGCCGCUCGAUCAAAGGAGCGUUCGACUCGUCGCAAGCGCGCCACGUGCGUCGACGCGCGGACCCGGUGCCGCGUUCGACCUCUGGUGACUGUUGGCGACGGUGCUCUCGGACAGACCUCUUUCUCGUCGAGAAUCUUUUUUUCGACGGGGAGACCGAUCUGCGACGCUAUAGCUUUGGGUACUUUCAGGACCCGUCUUGAAACACGGACCAAGGAGUCUAGCAUGUACGCGAGUCAUUGGGAAUCGCUAAACCUAAAGGCGUAAUGAAAGUGAAGGUCUUCCUCGCGAAGACCGAGGGAAGACGGACGGCCGAGACGACCGCCCUAAAAAAGUGGGACCGUUCCGCAUUCCCGGGGCGUCUCGUUCCCGUCGCAAGACGGGAAGAGGCGCACCAAGAGCGUACACGCUGGGACCCGAAAGAUGGUGAACUAUGCCUGGUCAGGACGAAGUCAGGGGAAACCCUGAUGGAGGUCCGUAGCGAUUCU